GUGGGGAAUCUUGCGCAAUGGGCGAAAGCCUGACGCAGCCAUGGCGCGUGAAUGAUGAAGGUCUUAGGAUUGUAAAAUUCUUUCACCGGGGACGAUAAUGACGGUACCCGGAGAAGAAGCUCCGGCUAACUUCGUGCCAGCAGCCGCGGUAAUACGAAGGGGGCUAGCGUUGCUCGGAAUUACUGGGCGUAAAGGGCGCGUAGGCGGACAGCUUAGUCAGAGGUGAAAGCCCAGGGCUCAACCUUGGAAUUGCCUUUGAUACUGGCUGUCUUGAGUUUGGGAGAGGUGAGUGGAACUCCGAGUGUAGAGGUGAAAUUCGUAGAUAUUCGGAAGAACACCAGUGGCGAAGGCGACUCACUGGCCCAAUACUGACGCUGAGGCGCGAAAGCGUGGGGAGCAAACAGGAUUAGAUACCCGUGUAGUCC
rnacentral:rRNA from 1 species